GGCGCUGCAUGGUACUCUGCACUCAGCAGUCCUUUCUUGCUGGUGUGUUCAAAAGACAGUGCAAUAGAAAUUCACUAUCUGGCAUCGUUGGUUUCUUGGCUUUGUGCAAGAUAAACCUGGUCUUUCUAAUGAUACAGUU